GCCAUCAAAAUGGAAUGAUAUCUACUCAGAUCCGAAUCCAAUUCAACUAAUUUGGUGUUUGACCGUACCUGCGACAGUAUCAAUUCUGAUGUUCGUGGAGGCGUUUGGAAAUGGAAUAAAAGAAAAGAAAUAUUAUCAUUGUACAACGUUGGUCAUCUAUGAAUCUGUUUGGAUUCUGUCCAUUUUCACUUUCGUUUAUUCGUUGAUGAAAAUUUGGACGAAAGAUAUAUCUUUCGUCCAUGUGUAUACACCAUCCGAAAUGAUUAUUCGUUGCCCAGAUGUGUUACUUUUUAUAACGGUUGGAUUUGCGUAUUGUUCACACUGGACCAAAAACACAUUUGUCCAUCUUUCGUUGUGUAUAAACAAAAUUUUCAAAGGAGAACCGAGAAGAAACCAAUACGUUUUAAAUCGCAAGCAAGUUGUGCCAUCCAUUCUAGCUUAUGUGCUGCCUGUGUUUCCCUUAGUAUUGACAACGAUUAGAUUUUAUACUUUUAGUGAGAUAGACGAUUCUUCAAGGUGGGAUUUAAUGUUGGUCAUCU